UUGAUUGACAUUCGAUUGAAGUGUACCUCGGACAUUUUCCGUUGUACCAAAGUUGAAGCUCAUAACAGUGCCGGAGACAGUCUUGUAAUAUUGUAAACAUCCAUUAGGAGCUGAAACGGAGACAAUUUAAUCCUUAUAUUCCAACGUCGAUCGAACGCGUAAUCUGCAUUGGUGUCGACGGAUAUCGUGAUUGGCGUUGCUCCAUUAAAGUCAACGUAUACUGAAACGAAAUCUUACGUCUAGUUAAUUCCGUUCUUCUCAAUCUGUAUGAAAAUUUUCACAAAUUUGAUUUACCAUGCUGGUUGGUGUUCUCUCCGCAUAUUCUGGGCACCGUAGACGAACCACCCGAUACCAAAAACACAUCUAAAUCGCAAAAUCCAGUUGAAUUAGGCUGGGCCCAGGUGGCCUCCAGAAAAUCUAGCCGCAACUGCAAAUCGUUGCACCGUGAUCGUGCAUCGUUCUCCACCUCGAUAAGUGAUGGGAUAUCUUGGACUUACAAAGUACGUAUUAUUCAUGUUGGUGGUGGAGCCGCAAGACUUUUGAACUGCAAUACGUAUAAAUUCCGUCGUGUCAAUUUUAUCGUGAGGCACAUUCAUUUAUUUUAUGAUCGACAAAUUAUAAUUUUAUAAUUAAUUCCGUUAUGCUACUUACACACGCAGCAAGUGCCCAAUCCG
rnacentral:lncRNA from 13 species